UCAGGACGAACGCUGGCGGCGUGCUUAACACAUGCAAGUCGAACGGAAAGGCCCUUCGGGGUGCUCGAGUGGCGAACGGGUGAGUAACACGUGGGUGAUCUGCCCUGCACUUUGGGAUAAGCCUGGGAAACUGGGUCUAAUACCGGAUAGGACUACGCGAUGCAUGUCGUGUGGUGGAAAGCUUUUGCGGUGUGGGAUGGGCCCGCGGCCUAUCAGCUUGUUGGUGGGGUGAUGGCCUACCAAGGCGACGACGGGUAGCCGGCCUGAGAGGGUGUCCGGCCACACUGGGACUGAGAUACGGCCCAGACUCCUACGGGAGGCAGCAGUGGGGAAUAUUGCACAAUGGGCGCAAGCCUGAUGCAGCGACGCCGCGUGAGGGAUGACGGCCUUCGGGUUGUAAACCUCUUUCACUAGGGACGAAGCGCGAGUGACGGUACCUAGAGAAGAAGCACCGGCCAACUACGUGCCAGCAGCCGCGGUAAUACGUAGGGUGCGAGCGUUGUCCGGAAUUACUGGGCGUAAAGAGCUCGUAGGUGGUUUGUCGCGUUGUCCGUGAAAACUCACAACUCAAUUGUGGGCGUGCGGGCGAUACGGGCAGACUGGAGUACUGCAGGGGAGACUGGAAUUCCUGGUGUAGCGGUGGAAUGCGCAGAUAUCAGGAGGAACACCGGUGGCGAAGGCGGGUCUCUGGGCAGUAACUGAC
rnacentral:rRNA from 1 species